ACCAAGUUCCCCAUGAACUAGACAAAUCGCCCCAAUACUUGGCUGAGAAAAAUUUCCAAGUUUCAUCGUCGAUUCCGAAAUGGGUUCAGAGAAACGGUCGAAGAACGAUGUGUUCGUGAACUUCCGCGGCCCGGAUGUUCGCGAGGGGUUCCUGAAGAACCUUCACAAGGCUUUGGCUCGGAGCGGCAUCAAAACCUUCGCGGAUAGCGAGGACCUCCACAAGGGUCAAAAGUUAGCCCCGGCCCUCGAAAAGGCCAUCGAACGAUCCCUCGUCACCGUCGUCGUCUUCUCCCAGGACUACGCCUCCUCCGAAUGGUGCCUGAAAGAGCUGGUGAAGAUCCUCGAGCGUAGCAAGCUCCAGGAACAGAUGGUGAUCCCCGUGUUCUAUAAAGUGAAGCCGAGCCAAGUGAGGUAACGGACCGGGCAUUAUGAAGUAGCCCUGGCCAAGCAUGAGCAGAGGCAUGGCAAAGAUUUGGACAUGGUGGAGAAAUGGAGGCAUGCUCUUUUCAUUACUUCCAACUUCCCAGGAUUGCAUCUCGAGGACAAUUCAGACGAAGCUAAGUUUAUCAAAGGAGUUGUUAGAGAUGUCAAAGCUAAACUGCAACACCUUGAAGCCAAGAGAAAACCUAAGAGUAUUCCCCCUAAUCUCCAUCGUCGUGUCGCUUCUGUCCCCAUGGUAAUGGCAGCCCCCACCGUCGUCACGGCUUAGGCUUUGUCGACCGCCAACCAUGCCCUUUGGUGCAUGUUUUCCGACGAUCGUAUGGGAGGACAAAGUACCUUGUAUGUAUAGAAAUGAGUACUUCGCAUCAAUGAAUAAAACGUAUAGAUAGGGCUUGUUUUGUAAUUCGGAUCCUGGAAUCCAAUCAAUCAAGAAUGUAUCUUGAACUAGCUAUUCCUCUCUGUUUCUGCUGUGUAUCGCGAAUGCUUGAUGCUGCUGCAAGCUUGUUUUCAGCUUUGAUGGUAAGAAUCUGGGUUGAACUGCAUUGGGCCUUGUAAGGGACUUUGGUCUAGCCUUUCCAUGGAUUGAGAAUAAAUUUUCUUAUGAAAGUAUCUUUAAUACUUUUUGCGUUU